rnacentral:rRNA from 1 species
UACGAAGGGGGCUAGCGUUGUUCGGAAUCACUGGGCGUAAAGCGCACGUAGGCGGAUCGUUAAGUCGGGGGUGAAAUCCCGAGGCUCAACCUCGGAACUGCCUUCGAUACUGGCGAUCUUUGAGUCCGGGAGAGGUGAGUGGAACUCCGAGUGUAGAGGUGAAAUUCGUAGAUAUUCGGAAGAACACCAGUGGCGAAGGCGGCUCACUGGCCCGGUACUGACGCUGAGGUGCGAAAGCGUGGGGAGCAAACGGG